AGGUCAUCAAAUGGAGUUCUUAUCAGACGAGCCUUUUAAACUGACCCCAAGUCACCUCAUCGUCGGUGUAAGAUCAGAGUUACACAUUCCACCAUGCUAGAGCAUGCCCAAUCAACUUAAGUCACACAAGCACGACUUCAUCGUUGUUGUUGUACCCAUAGAGAGUAAAAUAGGUGUCAAGUUGAUCAAGCCACACAUCUAAUACCUUAGCAUUGAUCGUAUCAUCAUAGGAUGAUAUGUUAAUCUAAGCCUUAACUCAAAAGGGUCGAAGACUCACUUUUUUCAUCGAUAUCACAACAUCAUUGUCGUUGUUGCCACAACAUGCCUUCAACAAACCAAUUUCAAAAUUUGAUGAGGAUGGCUUUCUCCUUCGCUGUGAUGUGUAUAUCUCCAUCGUCUCUUGUUGUUGGGAUGGCUUAGGAUUGGAACCAACCUAUCAUGACCUCCAUCUUUUGCAGAAGUCCACCAAGACUGUUGGAUUGCUCGUUUCCAUCAUGGAUGGACUCUUUUCAUCAAUGAUCGAAGUUGAAAUUUCAACUAGUGUAAUUUAUCACCCGAUGCUUUGUAUCUUUGCCUAGUGGUAACCAUCCACAAGCGAGGAACGAUGAUAUGAAAACAGCAGACCUGUAUGAGCAAUUCACGAUGCAUCUUGUGUUGUAGAAAACACAAAAUCUAAAGGCAAAAUCAAUCUACUUUACUUUAAAAUAGAGGUACCUAAAACAGAGAACUAAGCAAAGGCUUCUAGAGCGAUAAAGGCUCGAACUUCUCGUGCGACAAUCACGAACUAUUUGGGUUACAAACUUAUCACCGAACUCUCCCUUUCUCUCCUUCAUAGUUUACUGAGAGUUGCAGUAGCUAUUAUGCUACUGUUUGGAGAAGUUGUUGGACUCGAGAUUACUAAGAGUUGUCACAAGUUCACUUUACUUUCUCUUCUUCUGCUAUCUUCUCCUCUUCUUGCUACUGUCAAAGGAUCUUGGGAAGGCUACUAGGGAGCAACAACUUCUUGGAAGAAUAUUUGCAACAAACGUGCUGCUACAGGAAGGUUGAUGAUUGUCAACUUAUUCUUCUUUUUUCUCUCCUCUCUUCUCUCUUCGACUAGGACUUUGCUUAGGGCCAACUGGGACUUGAAGAGUGUCUAGU
rnacentral:lncRNA from 1 species